UUUAAUAACGGUAGAUAGACAGAUACAUACUUUAUUGAGUCCAGAAGAAAAUGAAUAACAUACAAGCACCACACCAGAUACACAGCAUUUUAUUAACCACACAUGUGAUCAUAAAAAAAAAGAUGCAGCCGACACAUUUUCCCAAAAAACUUUUAUGUCAGACUUGUAAUUAUUUAAGAAAAAGGAAUCCAUGCUGGAAUCUGCAUAGUACGCCAGUUCUGAGAGACUUUUCCAGGAGCUGUAAGGUAAGGAGGAAGCAUUAGAUAAUAUCUGAGUCAACAAAACCUCCUUUCUAAACUCGUUUCGCCUUAAGCCCUUAUUUAUAAGCAAGCUAUCAAGUGCAAAUGUCUGCUUAAUUUAAUACCUUCCCUGAAGCAGGCUGGAAUUUUUGUCUUAUUGCAUAUGUAUAGGUAGAUGGCUUUAAUGGGUCAAAUAUGAAUUAAUUGGAUUUAGUAAAUGAAUUCUCUCUUCUCACAUUUCUUGCUCCUUUUCUUAGCAGUGUCCAUGCUUGUGCUUAUGUUCACCAUCUGAAUCACUUCCACUGCCAGAGUGCUGACCAUGACCAUGACCAUGUUUAUGGUGGCCAUGUUUAUGGUGGCCAUGUUCAUGAUGGCCAUGUUCAUGGUGGCCAUGCCCAUGGUGACCAUGCCCAUGGUGACCAUGAUGACCAUGUUCAUGGUGACCAUGUUCAGGGCCAUGACCAUGCUGUGGACAAUUGGGAUCCUGGGGAUAUCCAGGACCAGGUGGGUAGGCUGAACCUGGUGGACAUCCUGGACCUGCAGGAUAGCCUGGCCCACCUGGCCUUGGCUGAUAUCCAGGACCCUGAGGAUAACCUGGAACUGGUGCACCUGGGUAACCUUGAGGAUAGUUGGGGUUCAUGUUGCUGUUUUCUGGCCUGUAGAAAACAAGCCAUAUAUAGAUUUAGAGUCAUUUGGGAAUGUUUCUGAUAGAAACAAAUGUUGAGUCAAUUUAAAUAACACAAUAAUCAAACAUCUUGUCCAGACUUUGCUGGUGUUGAUAAUAAAUAACUGAUGUCUAUUAAUGUUAGAAUAUCU
rnacentral:lncRNA from 1 species